AUCAAGGGGUUCAUCCAUUGUGCAACUACCAUUUUGAUUCCAAUCACCACCGUGAAAGUGCCUUGGUGAUUGCAAGCGCCAAAACUUAAGUGUUUUCUCUGGUAAUUCUUUAUCUAUAUAGGCAAUCAUAUUCUCAAGAACAACCUUAAACCCAUCAAACAUCUCUAAUGGAGGUUGAAUCAAUUGCCCUGCCUUGUAGAAAACAAGAGGCGUCUCUUUAGGGAAUUUGUCAAAGCCCCACCAAUGACCAGUGUUGAAGACUAGAACAUUGUAAAA
rnacentral:misc_RNA from 1 species